rnacentral:rRNA from 1 species
AUAAGAGCACACGGGGGAUGCCUAGGCAAAAAGAGCCGAAGAAGGACGUGAUAAGCUGCGAAAAGCUUAGGGGAGCUGCAAAUGAGCGAAGAUCCUGAGAUAUCCGAAUGGGAGAACCUGUAUAAUAGGAGAUUAUACACGAAAGAGGUAAGCGGAUGAACUGAAACAUCUAAGUAAUCCGAGGAAGAGAAAGUAAAAACGAUUUUCUAAGUAGCGGCGAGCGAACGGGAAAGAGCCUAAACCAUUGCAAUGAAUAAGGAUACAGCCGUUGUUGUAAUGGGGUAGUGGGUCAUAUUUAGAAGAACUGUAAGAUAUUCAAUAUGUUUGUAAAAGGAAGUGGAACCAUUUGGAAAGGUGGACCAUAGUAGGUGAAAGUCCAGUACACGUAAAUUUUAUGAACGUAUAAUAUGAACCCGAGUAGCACGGAACACGAGAAAUUUUGUGUGAAUCAGCGUGGACCAAAUCACGUAAGGCUAAAUACUCUUUUUGACCGAUAGUGAAUAGUACCGUGAGGGAAAGGUGAAAAGAACCCCUGGAGGGGAUUGAAAUAGAAACUGAAACCGUGUGCUUACAAGCGGUCGGAGCUGUGAAAACAGUGACGGCGUGCCUAUUGGAGAAUGAUCCUGCGAGUUACCUUUAGUGGCAAGGUUAAGGAAACGGAGCCGAAGGGAAACCGAGUCUGAAAAGGGCGAAAAGUCGCUAGAGGUAGACGCGAAACUUGGUGAUCUAUGCCAGUCCAGGUUGAAGCUUAGGUAAGACUAAGUGGAGGACCGAACCCACCGUCGUUGAAAAGCCGGGGGAUGAGACGGGUAUAGGGGUGAAAAGCCAAUCGAACCUGGAGAUAGCUCGUUCUCUCCGAAAUGCAUUUAGGUGCAGCCUUAUUUAUAAUCUAUGGAGGUAGAGCACUGAAUAGCGUAGGGGGCAUAUAGCUUACUGAAACUAAUCAAACUCCGAAUGCCAUAGAUGUAGAGAAUAGGAGUGAGACUGCGAGUGCUAAGAUUCGUAGUCGAGAGGGAAAGAACCCAGACCACCAACUAAGGUCCCAAAAUAAUAUCUAAGUGGGAAAGGAGGUGGAGAUUCUGAAACAACCAGGAAGUUGGCUUAGAAGCAGCCAUACCUUUAAAGAGUGCGUAAUAGCUCACUGGUCGAGAGUCUCUGCGCCGACAAUGUAACGGGGCUAAGAUAUAUACCGAAGUUGUGGAUUUACCGUAAGGUAAGUGGUAGGAGAGCGUCCUGUAAGCCGUAGAAGAAGAACUGAAAGGUUUUUUGGAGGUAUCAGGAGUGAGAAUGCAGGAAUGAGUAGCGAGAAAAUGGGUGAGAAUCCCAUUCGCCGAAAAUCUAAGGUUUUCAGGGGCAGGUUCGUCCGCCCUGAGGAAGUCGGGACCUAAGCAGAAGCUGAGAAGCGUAAGCGAAAGGAUAACAGUUUAAUAUUACUGUACCGCUAUAUAUAAGUGAAGGAGGGACGCAGGAAGAUAUACAUACGCACGGUUGGAAGAGUGCGGAGAAGGUUGAAGGGAAGAUAUAUAGGAAAAUCCGUGUAUCUAUAUUCUGAGGACUGAUCUAAAGUAACUGUAAAGGUUAUGAAUUUGUAGAUUCUACACUGCCGAGAAAAGCUUCUAAGCGAUAUAAAGUAUAUAGUGCCCGUACCGUAAACCGACACAGGUGGAAAGGGUGAGAAACCUAAGGCGAGCAGGCGAAUUGUCGUUAAGGAACUCUGCAAAAUGACCCCGUAACUUAGGGAGAAGGGGAGCCUAAAGAUGUGAAGUGUGCACACAUGGAGCAGAACUAGGCCGCAGUGAAAAGGCUCAAGCAACUGUUUAACAAAAACACAGGUCUAUGCGAAGCUGGAAAGCGAAGUAUAUGGGCUGACACCUGCCCAGUGCUGGAAGGUUAAGAGGAGGGGUGAGAGCCUCAAAUUGAAGCCCCAGUGAACGGCGGCCGUAACUAUAACGGUCCUAAGGUAGCGAAAUUCCUUGUCGGGUAAGUUCCGACCUGCACGAAUGGUGUAAUGAUUUGAGCGCUGUCUUGACGGCAAGCCUGGUGAAAUUGUAAUAUGGGUGAAGAUACCCAUUACCCGCAGUAGGACGGAAAGACCCCAUGGAGCUUUACUGUAGCUUGAUAUUGGGCUUUGACACUACAUGUAUAGGAUAGUUGGGAGACGAAGAGAGAUUGUCGCUAGAUGAUAAGGAGUCGUUGUUGGAAUACCAACCAUGUAUUGUUAGGGUUCUAAUCCGAAGAAGAAGUUUGGAGACAGUAUUAGGUGGGCAGUUUGACUGGGGCGGUCGCCUCCGAAAAGGUAACGGAGGCGUCCAAAGGUUCCCUCAGACUGGAUGGAAAUCAGUCGAAGAGUGCAAAGGCAGAAGGGAGCUUGACUGAAAGACAGACAUGUCGAUCAGGGUCGAAAGACGGGCUUAGUGAUCCGGUGGUUUCUGAAUGGAAAGGCCAUCGCUCAACGGAUAAAAGCUACCCUGGGGAUAACAGGCUGAUACUUCCCGAGAGUCCAUAUCGACGGGAGUGUUUGGCACCUCGAUGUCGGCUCGUCUCAUCCUGGGGCUGGAGAAGGUCCCAAGGGUUGGGCUGUUCGCCCAUUAAAGAGGCACGCGAGCUGGGUUCAGAACGUCGUGAGACAGUUCGGUCCCUAUCCACUGCGGGCGUAGGAGUAUUGAGAAGAUCUGUCCUUAGUACGAGAGGACCGGGAUGGACAAACCUCUGAUGUACCAGUUGUCACGCCAGUGGCACAGCUGGGUAGUCACGUUUGGAAGAGAUAACCGCUGAAAGCAUCUAAGUGGGAAACUCACUUCAAGAUAAAUACUGCCGUAAGGGAGCUUAGAGAACAUGAGCUUGAUAGGCUGGGGGUGUAAGUGUAGUAAUACAUUUAGCUGACCAGUACUAAUAACCCGAGAACUUAAUCU